rnacentral:rRNA from 1 species
CUCCUAUCAGCUUGUUGGUGAGGUAACGGCUCACCAAGGCAACGACGGGUAGCGGGACUGAGAGGUUGGCCCGCCACAUCGGGACUGAGACACUGCCCGGACCUCCACGGAGGGCUGCAGUAACGGAUAUUGGGCAACGGGCGAAAGCCUGACCCAGCAAUGCCGCGUGCAGGAUGAAGCCCCUAGGGGUGUAAACUGCUGUCAGGGGUCAGAAAGCUGGUUUCGGCCAGUUGAUCAACCCCAGAGGAAGUCACGGCUAACUUCGUGCCAGCAGCCGCGGUAAUACGAAGGUGGCAAGCGUUAUUCGGAAUCAUUGGGCUUAAAGGGCACGCAGGCGGAACAGUGUGUGUCGUGUGAAAUCCCCCGGCUUAACCGGGGAAUUGCACAGCAAACUGCUGUUCUUGAGGCAGGUAGGGGUGCAUGGAACUCUUGGUGGAGCGGUGGAAUGCGUAGAUAUCAAGAGGAACGCCAGAGGUGAAGACGGUGCACUGGGCCUGUCCUGACGCUGAGGUGCGAAAGCGUGGGGAGCGAACGGGAUUAGAUACCCCGGUAGUCCACGCCGUAAACGAUGUCUACUAGGUCGUGGGUGUUCUGACACAUUCACGGCCGGAGCAAAAGUGUUUAGUAGACCGCCUGGGGAGUACGGCCGCAAGGUUAAAACUCAAAUGAAUUGACGGGGGCUCACGCAAGCGGUGGAGCAUGUGGAUUAAUUCGAAGCAACGCGGAGAACCUUACCUGGGUUUGACAUGCUUGUAUGCCUUCUCUGAAAGGAGUUAGGCUGCCUUCGGGUGAAACUUGCACAGGUGCUGCAUGGCUGUCGUCAGCUCGUGUCGUGAGAUGUCGGGUUAAGUCCUUUAACGAGCGAAACCCUUGCCGUUAGUUGCCAGCGAGUAAUGUCGGGGACUCUAACGGGACUGCCGGUGUUAAACCGGAGGAAGGUGGGGAUGACGUCAAGUCCUCAUGGCCUUUAUGCCCAGGGCUUCACACGUGCUACAAUGGCAAUUACAGAGCGACGCGAUACCGCGAGGUGGAGCAAAUCGCAAAAAAAUUGCCUCAGUUCGGAUUGCAGGCUGGCAAUUCGCCUGCAUGAAGUCGGAAUCGCUAGUAAUCGCGUAUCAGCAAUGACGCGGUGAAUGUGUUCCUGAGCAUUGUACACACCGCCCGUCAAGUGAUG